CGGUAAUUCCAGCUCCAAUAGCGUAUACUAAAGUUGUUGCAGUUAAAAAGCUCGUAGUUGGAUUUCUGCGGGGACGGAGCGGCCGGACGCAACUUGCGUCUCGAGCUAGCGCUUUCCCCGCAUCCUGCCGCGAACCGUGCUACCAUUAGCUUGGUGGCGCUGGGGAUCGGCUCGAUUACUUUGAGAAAAAUAGAGUGUUCAAAGCAGGCCACACGCCUUGAAUAAGUUAGCAUGGAAUAAUGACUAAGGACUUCGGUUCUAUUUUGUUGGUGUUCGGGACUGAAGUAAUGAUUGAUAGGGACAGUUGGGGCGGUCUGUAUUCCAAAGCGAGAGGUGAAAUUCUUAGACCUUCGGAAGACAAACAGCUGCGAAAGCGUUCCGCAAGGAUGUUCCCUUUGAUCAAGAACGAAAGUUGGGGGAUCGAAGACGAUCAGAUACCGUCGUAGUCUCAACUAUAAACUAUACCAGCUAGGGAUCGGUCAACGUUUAAUCAUUCGACUUGAUCGGCACCUUAUGAGAAAUCAAAGCAUCUGGGUUCCGGGGGGAGUAUGGUCGCAAGGCUGAAACUUAAAGGAAUUGACGGAAGGGCACCACCAGCCGUGGAGCCUGUGGCUUAAUUUGACUCAACACGGGAAAACUUACCAGGUCCAGACAUAGUAAGGAUUGACAGAUUGAUAGCUCUUUCUUGAUUCUGUGGGUGGUGGUGCAUGGCCGUUCUUAGUUGGUGGAGUGAUUUGUCUGGUUAAUUCCGUUAACGAACGAGACCCCAGCCUGCUAAAUAGCGCGGCUGAGCUUUGCUCGGUGCGAGCUUCUUAGAGGGACUAUGAUGCGCGAUAGCACAUGGAAGUUUGGGGCAAUAACAGGUCUGUGAUGCCCUUAGAUGUUCUGGUCCGCACACGGGCUACACUGGCGCCUGCAACGAGCAUAUCAGCUGGCCCGAGAGGGUCUUGGCUAAUCUUUUGAACCGGCGCCGUGCCUGGGAUUGACCAUUGCAAUUGUUGGUCAUGCAACGAGGAAUGCCUUGUAAACGCGAGUCAUCAGCUCGCAUUGAAUACGUCCCUGCCCUUUGUACACACCGCCCGUCGCUCCUACCGAUGAAUGUUCCGAUGAAAUUUUCGGAGAGCGCCAGAGAACGGGGCUCCGCCUUGCAGAUCUGGAGGCUCAAAGUCACUUAAAUCUGAACAUUUCGAGGAAGGAGAAGUCGUAACAAGGUAACC
rnacentral:rRNA from 1 species